AUUGUUCGUGUGCACGCGCUUUCCCCAUUGUUGCCGAUUGUUGCGCGUGACCGCUCUGCUAAGUGACACGACGCAGCCACGUUCUCAGGUCUGCAGCCUGGCAGAGCUGGCUUUUGUUUUGCAUAAUCAUCACCUUUUGGAUGAUCAACUUCGAUUUUGUUUGGAAGAACCGGGAUUUGUCUCGUUGUGAAGUAACUCCCCUUGCACCGUGUGUGUGUGUGUGUGUGUGUGUGUGUGUAUGUAAUCGUUUUCCCCAAGACUGGUCCAGCUCAUCCUGCAGCAGGUGGCCAAACAUAUGGAUCAUCUCCCCUGUAAUUGAGAGUAAAUAGCUAGUGGAGCAGCAUCACUGAGGAUAAGUGGAUGUGAAAGAAGGGAAUCUCCUGGACGGUUAGUGGGGUUUGCAAUGCUCGGCAGGUCUCCUCACCUUAUUGGAGGUAUCUUGUGGAUCCAGAAUCCCAUGAGAGCUGUUCACUGCACCUUGAGCCACAAUGGCAUCGACCACCAGAUGUACCCAGAAGACGUAGAAUCCCAGCUGGAUGAAGAGGAGGAGUCUGUCGACGGCCCACCGGUGCUGGUAGAUGACGACAGCCCGGGCUACUAUGACUUAAGCCCGUCCGUCUUUCAGCGCCGUUUGCCACCAUAUCGCUCAGUGUCGGAGUCUGAGCUCACACAGCCCGGCUAUGUGAAACUGUCCAAACCGGUCGCCCUGUGGACCCAACAGGAUGUUUGCAAGUGGCUGAAGAAACACUGCCCCAAUCAACAUCAGAUCUACAGUGACUCCUUCAAACAACACGACAUCACAGGGCGAGCACUCAUGAGACUGACAGACCGAAAGCUGGAGAGAAUGGGCAUCAUACAAGAAGCCGAGAGACAGAACAUCCUGCGGCAAGUCCUGCAGCUCCGCGUCCGGGAGGAAGUUCGGAACCUUCAACUCCUCACACAAGGCUCCCUGGAAUGCGCCCCAUCUUCACCAUAAACCGACGGCGCAUCGACAGAGGUCGCCUCUGUGUCCGCUCAUUCAAUGUUGGGAUAUAGCAGCUGCGGACUAAUACAACAAACGGCCGCUCGUUGAUGGAACAAUAUUGAUUAAACCUCGAGGAUUACAGAAGCCUCAAGGAAGAAAAUUAGGGAGGAGUGUCGGCCUGAUGUGGAGUGACAAGAUGAGAGAGAAUGAUGAAUGAGACCAGAUGGCCCGGAUUCCCCACGACGACGCAAAAAUCGCCCUCCGGUUCCCCAAAUGCAAACACCGCAGGUGAAACGCUUCAUAAGAGGGAUUGACUCCAAACCAUCUCGGGUGAAUUUACUCUCAAAACGUGACUCGUUCGUGCCCUAAGCACAAAUUCAAUGUAAAUGUGCAACAUAAAAAAAAAAAUGGAGGACGGGCAGGAUCUAACAUUACAUUUUGCCACAAUUUAAAAGUUACUGGUUGUCGAUGAAACUCGCUAAAUGAGUACCGGUUAAAUGACUUACCUUGAAAAUGUCAGCAAAUGACGCAUUUUGACAAUCUAUAAUGCCAAUCUGGGCGAAAUGACUGCACUGUGCUUUUCCGCAGCCUACAAAACUGUCUCCAAAAGCAAACCGGGUAUUACAGUGGCGGUUUUCCCAUUGUGUGGAGUUUUCAUAGCCGGAAACGGCUCGAAAACCACAAUCCCGCAAAGUGAGACCACACCGAGAUAAUUGCAGUCCAUGGAAUCGAAAACGUGCUCAUCUGCAGGAAAUCAUCAUGUGAGGAUAUGACAAGAGUGUAGUGACAGAUACUUUACAUGCAAUAAAAUGUCCGUCUGGAAACCACCAAGUGCUGUUCGGUCUCAGUCCACUGUCACAGUCGAGCAUUGCGGGAACAGAACAAUACAACCAAAACCUCAUUUAAAAAAGAAAAAAAAAAACAGUGAGGCCUUCUCUGCUGACCCAAACAUCAGAAUCACAUUCAGAACUUCAAUGAAGCUGUCAGAAUUCAUUUCCAACAAUCUUCUAUCUUUGUUUCAUAGUUUUUCUGGUUGUUAUUUUUUUUUUGUCCUAUCAAAUUUCAGCUUAGAUCUGUUGCUAUGUAGAUAUUAUUUGCCCCAACGCCUUCAGAAUCCCGAGCGCUGGUCGAGCGCACGCGCGCGGUUGACAUCGGAAGGACGACGUCAGACAUCAUUUCAAAUUUUGUUCUGAAGGUCGCAGGACGCAGAAGCCACUUGUUUCGAUCCUUUUUUGGACACUUUCACAACAAUGACUCAAAGUGAAAACGGUUGACUUACGACGACAGGUGGGAGAUCCGCAACAGGAUCUGUGGUGAGUAUAAUGUUUUAUUACAAGAUUUUGUCUUUGGUCCUGAUGAUAUUCAUCGUCAACUACGCAAAUUGCCUUCGUCGCUUGUUUCACCCUUUCAUGCACUCUGUUAACUGAUAACACGAGAAGCUGUCCACUGGCGUGAUCGCUGACCUUCAAAGGGUUUUAAUGCCAUAAAAUGUUUAUACAUAUUUCGGAAAACAUAUAAAAGCCUCUUGGAGAUGAUUUUUGAGUCAUUGGGGAUUUCAUCCAUCAAAUCAGAGGUCCUGACAUUUCUAAAGGGGAAAUAAAUGCCGGAGGGGUUGCUAGCAUCUUUUCGAGCUUCUAUCUCAGGGUUGGCCAUAUUUUAGUGACCGUUUCACUUGGAGGGCCAUUAUGACUGAAACCGUUGAUUCAAUUAUUAUUUAAGUUACUAUCAUGAAAAUGCUUAGAAUAUAUAUUUUAUUUUUACAUGUGAGAAACGUUUCGGUAGACAUUUUGGGAAGGAUCGUGGAAGUUGACGUUUUUGAGCUGCUUUCACGGGCCACAUAAAAUGAUGUGGCGGGCCAGAUCUGGCCCCGGGCCUUGUGUUUGACACCUGUGUUCUAUCUUCUUGACCCUUGACUUGCGGUGUGCUUCCCUGAGGAGUUUGCCCUCCUGGUGAGACCCCCGGUGAUCAAUCAUGUGAUAGAACUUGUCAUUUUCAUUGGCCGUAAAAGUCUGCCGCUGCUUGUUUGACAUUUGGACUCUCGGCUCGGCUCGGACUCAUCGCGGACUGUCGGCAACCGACGAAAUGGUAGUUGCGGAUCCCUGAAUAGGAAAGAAGAUGAGUUCGGAAAAGUUUGCGAAAAAGGACUCGACGACAAUGCUUUUCGUCACACAAGCGCGUUAAGACAAAUGGGUCAGCCAUAAGAUAUUAACCGAGGAUGUGGUUAACUCGUUCUGUCAGCGAGCUUGUUUCAAAAUCUUGAGUGUGGAACUUCGCCACCCGUUGUAACCUUUCGCAGUAAUAAAACAUUAGAGGAAGCAUAGCCAGGAGGCAGGCGAGGCUCCGCUCGUCUCUUCGACUUAGCGUCGAGUCCUCGCCGACACUAAGAGCGCCAUCCAUAAUUAACCCCCUGCGCUGUCAAGUGAAGGCAGCGCUCAAAACAUGUCCUCGCAUGUCAUUCUAACCCUUUUGCCCGCAUCCUUCUCAGCUGUCAACUCAUCUAUCUGCUCUUUUCUGUCGGGGUUUGCACGUCUACCUCACAGUGCAGAAGUCGUGGGUUUGAUUCCGGCUCUGGCCUUCCUGAGUGGAGUUUUGCAUGUUGUCCCCAGGCCCGCGUGGCUUUUCUCCGGGUACUCCGGUUUCCUUCCACGUUCCAAAAACAUGCACGGCAAGGCUGAAUGAACACUCGAAAUUGUCCCGAGGUGUGAGUGUGAGCGCGGAUGGUUGUUUGUAUGUAUGUGUGUGCCCUGUGAUUGGCUGGCAACCGGUUCAGGGUGCUCCCCCCCCCCCCCUCCCGCCUACUGCCCAAAGAUGGCUGGGAUAGGCUCCAGCACUCCACUCGACCCUUGAGAGGAUUAAGCGAAUCAGAAAAUGAAUGAAUUUCUUCUCCUGGAGAACCACACGUUGACCUUUUAUAUAGUCUUACUUUCAGAACGCGGGGGGAUAAAAACGGAUAAAAACAAAUCGCUCAUAUUUGGCGACAGCAUAAUCCUGCCAAUAACCGCUCCUGUGCAAUAGCAAAUAGCCGGCAGCCUUCGGCGAACGCGGUUUGGAAAAACAGGUCGCUCGAGUGCAGAUGGGUUCAAGCUGAGAGCGCAGAGGAGAGUGGACACUGCAAGGGAGUGGGGGGGGGAGGGCUGGAGGGGGUACGACAUUAACAUUCACCAUGCACAGAUGUGCUUCACCCCUUGCGCAUUGUGAAAAAGACACACGAGGUUCAUAGGGAAUGCCAAAUAAGAGGAUAUAUUUGCCCGCCGGGAUGAUCGUACCGUGUGGAUGACUAUCGGCAUGUGUUGACGCUUGUAUCGCUAAAUUCAGGGAGGGGGGUCGUUUGGGGUGUUGGCGUAGAAAAUAGACUAGGCCAUACGUUCCAAUUUCCAUGUUCCCGAGCUGUGUCAGUGGGAUUAGUCGAGCGCAUCCGUCAAUCUAUAUGGGAGGGGCUUGCAUACGUAAAUUAAGUGGAUUACUGUGCAGAAUAGUCCAAGGGGGAAUUUAGAGGGCGGGGGGGGGGGGGGGGGGGGGGUCUCUGAAUGAAUGCAAAAAUUCUUCCCUCACUGUCAGCGAGCUGGUCCCACGACAUCAUCAGCACUUUCGGAAAUUCAUGAUAGCAGCGUGAGCUCCUUUUGAAUGCCGCUGAUUUGAUCAGAUGGGGGGGAUUUAAUGACCCCCGGCGCAGCUCUCGAGUGAGGACGACAAUUCGGAGCGAUUGGCACGUUCAGCAGAAAGUGUGCUGAAGCCUGUGUUUAUUCGAACAUUUUAAAAAACAACAAUUCCCCAGCAAGACAAGACACCAGGAAGACUCAAAACACAAAAUUAGCAAACUCCAAAAGCAAGCGUCAACGGCUUUUAAAAAAAAAAAAAAAAUCGCAAGAUGCAUUAUCCUCCGCUCGACUUCAGUGGCCUGCUAUCAACCAAAAUCCCUCGAAUCGAAAUCCACCUCAAGUGGAUUGUAGUUGAAUACUAAUGAGGUAGCCAGCGGUCGCGCUCGGGCUUUCCGUUUUAAUGAGGACAAAAAACUAUCACUACAUCUUACCGGGAAAAAAAAAACGCUUCCUUUGCUGCCGGCUGCCAGUUGGCACGUCCCAGAAGGAUUGCGGGGUUAAAAUUGCAGAGUUUCGACGCAGCUCAUUCAGAGUCCUCUGGCAACAAAUGACAUCCUCCCUCCCACUCCUCCAAACAUUUUAAACCCAGCUCCGUUCGCCCGUUAGCCAUCUCGGUUUCGGAAAAGGUCACUUCAAAAUAAAUAAAGAAUGGGCGAGAUCACGAAGCAAUCCCGCUCAGAGAGUCGAGCGGCACUUUUGUACGGCGAAGCUGCUCCAUUUAGCAUUCGUAACCCGGAGCAAUACCUGAGACUGGCAGUCGUGAGAAUGGAAAAGUCCAGACUGACUGCCAUUCACUUGUCACCGGCUACGUUUGUCAUGUUUUCUCUUUUUUGGGCCUAAACUUGUCGCCCGUUUGUCACCGUGCAAUUGGCUUUUGUCAGUUUUCAAACCAUUUAACACAUUCGGUGCAAUAGAGGAUUUUUUUUUACAUUUUUUAAAAAAGAAUUCAGGCAUUUAAAACUCAUUCAGUACCAGCUAAUUCUAGACCAAGUCUGAAAAGACGUUUAAAAACGUCUUUGGGAGUGAAUUAGUUAAUCCCAGGUAUGUUUUAUUUAUUUAUGAUUAUUAUUGGGGUUUUUUUUAAUGCACAUGCUAGGGUAAAGAAAGACAUGAAUUAAAAACCAAUAAUAAAGCCUUAAACUCAAUCGGGAAUCACACGAGGAGCCAUCGCAAAGAUUUUAAUAUUGCCGAAUGCUAUGUGGGCGGUCUGCGCCCCGACAAAAGUUGUUCAGCAUUUUGAUGAAAUUUUGUUGAUGAUGAGAUUGUUGACUGAAAAACUGAGGAUUGUUGUUUUUGUUAAAAAGUAGUUUUUUUUAAUGUAUGGGAUCUUAUUAACCCUUUCAGGUACAGCGUCUACUACAGUGGACAGCUUAUCGUGUUAUCAGGUUCCAAGUUAUCAUUAUUGCAUGAAAAGGUUAAAAACGACCAGAAUGGCCACUUAAAAGUGUAUGUUUGGCAUACCCGCAUGCAAAACAUUCUCUCGUGCCCGUUUGUCAUCUUGAUGUACUCGCGGCCCACUUGGUGACAUCAUACAUGGUUUCGUUUAUCGGCAACCAAUCAACAGCAACCUGAGUAUUUUCAAAGACUGUUUUGUCUUCCCCUUUGGCUGAAACUGGCCGAACCAUCAGAUUAUCUUCCAGCCUUGUGGAAUGUGUUUACCGCAACCUGAAUAUGCAGGUUUUCAUCACGGCUUCUUGACGUCACAAAGAAGAUGGAUGCGAUUAAAAAAAAAAAAAAAAAAAAAAAGUGCCAUGUUAUCGUUUAACCGGCUUUUUUAGCACUGUUAAAUAUUUCCCGCGCAAGUGGCUAAAAUUAUUCUUGUUAUCAGAUUCACGUUGCAGUUACAUUCCAAUCGCUUUAUUCAAACGGUAUGCGGCUCAACUCGUAACAAUACAAAUUUCCCUCGCCCAUUUGCCAACGUUUCGAAAACGUAUCUUAGCAAGUAGUAUGCUGUAGACGCUUUUCUAUUUCUGGAAUGCCUCGAUUGCUCAAUGUGCACGUUUCAUGUCAGGUGGCAUUGAAAAGCAGGUGCAUAAAAAGGUGGCCUUAGCCCAGCGGGGAUUAUUCAGGCAGAAGGUCUCAUAUUAAAGACACACUGUGGACAAUAAAAUAAAUGGGGGGUGUGGGGAUGGGGGUCCUCAACUCCCAAACCAUUUUUCACGCCACUAAUGACCCUUACCAAGAUUACGUGAAUUGUUUUAUUUUCCAGUGCGAGACAUCCAUUUGGGAUUGAUUCAUUUACUAAUUUUAAGAAAUAACUGCACAUAGAGCAGAUUGGAUUAGACGCAAACCAUGGAUGGGAAAUUAAUACCCGUGGCAGCAGCAACAUUUGCAGGACAUUUAUUGAUUUAAAAGAAUAUACUUUCUUAUCAGACAAGAUGGCCUGCAUAUAAAUGGUUGCUAAGCUACAGUUUGGUUUAUUUAUAGCAGUGUGUAUAUAUAUAUAUAUUAUAUAUAACUUUAUAGACGCCUUCAAUCCUAAUUACUGAGUUUCAUCAUUGAUCGUGGAAAAGCGAAUCAAUGCUAAAUGGAAGAGGUUGCGCUCGGAAGUGGUGACUUAUUAUGAUCGAUUCACUUAACACUCUCGCAUGCCAUAUUACCACUUGAGAUGAUCUCAAGGUGAGUUUUUCUCCGUGUCAGAUGCCUGAGAAGAAAAGCUUCAAUGUUGAUCUUGUGCCUCGCGUUCCUAUUUUAAAAAGUCAUCCUCGAUAUUAUUCCAUUCAAAUCCGACAUGGACGUCUGAAUGAGGGAAACGUUAACAAGUCUAAAAAGUCUUUCAUAUCAAAGGUAAACCAAGGUUCGCAUUUUAUCAUAAAACCGCCACACUCCUGUCGGAUAUUUCCCCCCCCCCCCCCCGAAAGGAAAUGUCAUCAAUGCGAGGAUCCUCGUGGUUGUUUUCACACCUUUUUCGUGCGACGAUCGGCUAUUCAAAUGGUCCACUUCACAAGAUCUCACAAGUGGUUGCGUUAACUCACCCUCUGAUUUCCAACAAGAAAUAUGAGAGAAACGUGGGAGUAAAAUGGGACGAGUUUUUUUUGUUUGUUUGUUUUUCUGUGAUGGAUUUAUUAACACCAAGACAGAUGAUUUUUUUUAAUAUAUAUAAUUAAUGCUAGCUAACACUUUGACGAUAGUUGUUAGCUGUCACGAACGCCCCUCUAGGGACAAUAUUCCCACUUUGAAAACGCGAACGGCUCUACUUUCUCAAUUGUGUGCACGUGAGACGCCACCGUGCUGCCGAAAAGGUGACGUGGCGCAUUUGUGUCGUCACUCCCCAAGACGUUACGUCAUAGAUGACCUCAUCCCAUCAUGGUUCCCCGUUGAAGCUGUGAGUCUUUUCCAUUCUCUAUUGCUGUGAUCCGUCAUGUACACUUGUUAAUUUUGCGCCUCUUGGUUGGUCAAAGGUUUUACCUUCUUUUUGUUGACUUAUUAGAUUGGUUGCGUGUCAAAACUGAAAUGGCUCAAUUUGGUGCGCUUCAUGUUACUCACUUCCGCAGCCUAGUGGCAACUGUCUGCUGUCGUCUUCGUUGAAGGUAAACUUUCAACGAUUGUACAUUUUGACAUGUUUUUUUUGGGGGGGGUGACAAAGUAACACAUUUCAUUUUCGAACUGUAACUUUAAUCAGACUUCGAUAUCAGAUAUAGCAACUCGUUAGAUGACUAGUUACUGAAAACAGCAGCCGUAAUUGAGUAACGCGUUAAUUUCUCAUGGUGAAUUUGUUGUCGCGAACCUGUCACAACGACUUAACAUCUUCAAUUCAACUCACAUUUUUUAUCGACUUCAUUGAGGAUGAGCGGAACAAGAAGGGUAGCCAAGCCAAGAACUAAAAAAGCAGCCAAAAAGGGCAGCCAAGAACUCAAAAGCAGCCCUUUGGAAUGGCACCCAGACCUUUUUCGUCACCGACAUAUUCCAAUCAUGAGCGCUGGUCAGUCACGGGAUCCUGGCCUGCCUCCCAGCCAACCCUGCUAAUUAGUGCCCCUCAUCUGAGCUAAUUGGCCGAUAAAAAAACGGGGAUGGCCUCUUCACCCUGUCUGAGCAUUGUGCCACCAAAUAGCAGCGAGGAAGAUUAUGCGGCUUUAUGAAGCAUGGUGACACUCAGCCAGAAGCACUCCUCGGUUAUUAAUUUCUUUGUCGUAAGGGUUGCCUCCGCCUUGAAAUUUUGCUCCUUUGCUUUGUGUGUUAGCGGAAAUGAAGACAAGUCUUGGAAAUACUUUUAAGUACUCUCCAAAGCUUCAUGCUCUGAAAUCGGUUUAAUGAGUUUUAUUGACCAAAAGUGUACCGCAAUUGAAUAAGCGAGCAGGUCAAAAUGACACCCUGAUGCAAACACAGCAUUAAUAAAAUCUCUUUUUGUAUAUUUAUACAUAAAGACAGUAAUGCUUAUUUGUGCCUGACACACUCCAGCGAGGUCGUAAUUAUCCAAAAUUAGAUCUUCGUUGUGGUCGUAGCUUGCGGCGGUGUGCACGAUCCAUACCGAGUAAUAUUUCCGCUCUCGUGUGGCUAAAUGAGGUAGCCAAAAUAUUGUGUCUGGCAUUAUCGUUCAGUGCAGUUCUGCACCAGUGCAAUUUACAGCCAAAAUAAUAAAGGUGCUGUUUAUUAAAUAUCGAUUUAAUUCAUUAAAUUGUCUUCGAGGUACAAGAGACAACUCACUCGCCUGUUUCCAAAUGUGUAGCGGCGUCAUUAUUAAUUACUCCUACUGCCCCUGUUUUUUCCACCUUAUAAACUGCCAAAAUGUUACUCAAUCAAUUAGUUGAGACCUGUACUUCUGUUUUCACUUUUUUUUUUACAUCACGUUGUCAUCUUAUGGUCUAAAAAAGUGGAAAAAAAUAAAUAAAUACAAAUUACAUUCAUGCAGUUCAGUGUCUCAUAAUCUGAAACGAAAGCACAGAACAAUUAAUCAAUUGUGAAGUUAAUAAAGGAAUUGAAUGGAUGUAUGAACAAAAAUGGAGUCUCAUUUUUUUGACUUGUUAAAUGUACUUAGGUAGUCGUGGCAUUCUUUCCACACUGGGGGAAAUAAUAUAUUUAUAAAAUAAUAUAUAUUAAUAUAUAACAUCUGAAGCCCCCCCUCACUCUUUUUCACUGGUAUGCUGCUUUUAUUUUACUCCGUUGUUCAGUUCAUCAUCCCAAACCAUCUUAAAGCGAUUAAAAGCUGGAGAAUGCCUUUAUGUAUGUACAUUUCUGAAUUAUAAUUCUGAAAUGUACAUAUUUUGAGGGGGGGGGUGAAUAACCUCACGUCAUCACCUUUAUUCAUUUGUACCAUUUCGAGCUUUUCGUUGGGUUUGAGCGGUUAAAAAAAAUCUGGAAAACAUUGGCGUUCCUCAACUUUUAACUUGUAGUGUAACAUUGACAAAGAAGCAACAAGUCCAUAUAUUUAAACGGCGAGGGCGAAAGUUAAACGUCUUCAGAAAAAUAAAACGAGAGGAAAUUACAAACACCUGACAAAUCUACGAAAUAGAAAAGGUAUUUUUGUUCCUUCCCACCAAUGUCAAAGUGCUUGUAUCAGGGGAAAAACAAAGGUGGGAAGGAAAAAAAACCGUUUGAUCCGGCCAGGAGCGCAGACGUUACGCCUCAGUCAUAUCAGACUUCAACUUGUGGUUUCAGUGGAGGGUGUCAUGCCCCUUGGCAUCUCUCCAAAUAACCUCCGAGCUUUUUCAAUUAGAUGAUUUGCACAUGCGGAACACUCCGGUUAUGAAUGGGUGCAUCAUUCCAAGUCCCGCCUCUUCCGCUUUCGGGCCGGACCAAUCAGCGGCCGGGCUGAGCGUGGAUGGGACGUCACGACAGUUGCAGUCGUGUCGCGAUUGGAAUGUUAGCGACUAACAAACGGAACAACUGAGCAGUCGGAAAUUGGUCACUUGGACUGAGGAAUUCCGUCAUUUUAUUUUUGGAGGAGGGGACGGGAUGGUGGGGGUGGGGGGGGCGAGGUUUCCGCGCUUUGCUAGGUCAGCCUUUUCCUAGCGAGCGGAGAACUUAACAGCGCCGCAGCUGAGCUCCGUUUUUCUAUCAGCGCAUCUCGGUCGACGGCUGAAGCUUGUUGGAGAUCC